CCUACGGGAGGCAGCAGUGGGGGAUAUUGCACAAUGGGGGAAACCCUGAUGCAGCGACGCCGCGUGAGUGAAGAAGUAUUUCGGUAUGUAAAGCUCUAUCAGCAGGGACGAGACAGAACGGUACCUAAAUAGGAAGCCCCGGCUAACUACGUGCCAGCAGCCGCGGUAAUACGUAGGGGGCAAGCGUUAUCCGGAAUCAUUGGGGGUAACGGGAGCGUAGACGGCGGAGCAAGCCUGAAGUGAAAGGCCGGGGCCCACCCCCCGGACUGCUUUGGAAACUGUAGGGCUGGAGUGCAGGAGAGGUAAGUGGAAUUCCUAGUGUAGCGGUGAAAUGCGUAGAUAUUAGGAGGAACACCAGUGGCGAAGGCGGCUUACUGGACUGUAACUGACGUUGAGGCUCGAAAGCGUGGGUAGCAAACAGGAUUAGAUACCCUUGUAGUC
rnacentral:rRNA from 1 species